UACGUAGGGUGCGAGCGUUGCCCGGAUUUAUUGGGCGUAAAGGGCGCGUAGGCGGCCACGCACGUCCGUUGUGAAAUCGCCCGGCUCAACUGGGCGGGGGCAGCGGAUACGGUGUGGCUCGAGCAAGCUAGGGGGCAAUGGAAUUCCCGGUGUAGUGGUGGAAUGCGUAGAUAUCGGGAGGAACACCAGUGGCGAAGGCGGUUGCCUGGAGCUUUGCUGACGCUGAGGCGCGAAAGCGUGGGGAGCGAUCCGG
rnacentral:rRNA from 1 species